GGUAGUAAAAGUCGUAACAAGGUUUCCGUAGGUGAACCUGCGGAAGGAUCAUUAUUGAAUGAAACACUUCUGGCUUUAUGCUGUUGUGCUGGCCCUUUGGGCAAUGUGCACACGGCUCUGGUCACUUGUUUCUUCUGUUCCACCUGUGCACUGCCUGUAGACACGCUGUGUCUAUGAUAUUUGUUAACACACAACAAUGUUAGUUGGCAUGUUAUAUAUAAUAAUAAAAUAUACAACUUUCAACAACGGAUCUCUUGGCUCUC
rnacentral:misc_RNA from 1 species